rnacentral:sRNA from 3 species
UAUCUCUCCGUACGGGGAAGGAUGAGAAGCUUCGACUAAGGUUCGAUUCGAGCGCAGCGAGAAAGCGUUGCCGCAGGCAACG